GAUGAACGCUAGCGGCAGGCUUAAUACAUGCAAGUCGAGGGGUAGCAAGAUUGUAGCAAUACAUUUGAUGGCGACCGGCAAACGGGUGCGGAACACGUACACAACCUUCCUAUAAGUGGGGAAUAGCCCAGAGAAAUUUGGAUUAAUACCCCGUAACAUAAUGAUGUGGCAUCACAUUAUUAUUAUAGCUACGGCGCUUAUUGAUGGGUGUGCGGCUGAUUAGAUAGUUGGCGGGGUAACGGCCCACCAAGUCUACGAUCAGUAGCUGAUGUGAGAGCAUGAUCAGCCACACGGGCACUGAGACACGGGCCCGACUCCUACGGGAGGCAGCAGUAAGGAAUAUUGGUCAAUGGACGCAAGUCUGAACCAGCCAUGCCGCGUGAAGGAUUAAGGUCCUCUGGAUUGUAAACUUCUUUUAUCUGGGACGAAAAAAGGCGAUUCUUCGUCACUUGACGGUACCAGAUGAAUAAGCACCGGCUAACUCCGUGCCAGCCGCCGCGGUAAGAC
rnacentral:rRNA from 1 species